AGAGUUUUAGUUUAAUUAAAAUGUCUGUGUUGCAAGCAGAAGAUGUGGGUUNGCCGCAAACUCUC
rnacentral:tRNA from 1 species